GACUGGAUCAUCAUUUUUUCUACCCUCAUAGACAUACCUAUGUCUCGAAUACAGCGAUAAGUCGAAUUUAUUACUUGGUCCCCAGCGAUUCGAGACAUUGGGAUUUGACUGCAUAUCCAUUGUUGAAU